CAGAAAAAGGGCAGGUUGUUGCGUUAGAUAGAUCAGUAACGUUAGGGUUAUUUUUUUUAAAUUCAACAACAACAAUUAAGCAUAAUAUAAGGGAGUUAUAGUCCAAUCUAGUAGGUGGCGGCAAUGGAACAUUUAUUGGAUGCCAACCGCCGUUCAAACUCAUCGAAGAAGUUAACAUAUUUUCAAAUUCAAGUACUACUGUCAAUAAUGCCAUAUGUUGCAGACUUCAAAAUUGCCCACUACAGUAUAAGAUAGUUAGCUAGUCUCUCAAGUAGUUAACUAACAAGCAAGGAAAUCAGUCUAGUUAGCUGACGUUAGCUAGCUACAGUAGCUUGAUAACAUGGUUUGCGAACAGUUGCAUGUUUUUUCUUGAUUAUUUGGCUUCAUACAACGUUGUUGAAAAGUAACUUUAUAAUAUUUAGAAGCUAACUUAGCUCGUUAACGUUUCAAUUUAAACAAUGUCAAGCGUACAUGAAAGUUUGUAUUUCAACCCAAUGAUGACCAAUGGGGUGGUCCAUGCCAAUGUGUUUGGCAUCAAAGAUUGGGUGACUCCGUACAACAUCUCCGUUCUGGCCUACUGUACGAGAUGACCACGUCAAAAACAAUUGCUCUUCGGGAAAGAAGGGGCUUGAACAAACUCAUCCUGCCUCUACAACAGGGUCCAGACUUGACUCAUGGCCAAUUCCUGAAGACUGGACGAAUUUUGCCCUCAAACAGCAUAUGCUGUGAAACUCCAGUAUUGAUGAGUCCUCGAUUCAACUGCAUUUACCUAGGCCUGUAAUGUAAGAGGUCUGUUCAUGAGACACAUGCUCCUGGCCUACAUCAAGCUGCCCUUCAAACAGGUAUACAAAUUGUACAAAGCCCUGCAGCACUACUACCACAGUCACUACGCCCAGCCUGGUGAUGGCCAGGUGGGGCUGACUGCAGAUGACUCAGAUGGACCUCACCAGCACAGAGGACACUGUAGGGGAGAGGAUGGAGGAGGAGGAGCUGGACACAGCACCACUGCAUGAGUUAUUAAAAGUAGAGGUGGUAGUAGCGGGGAGUAUCCUUUGCAAUUUGCAUAUUUCUCAUUUUCCCUAUUUGAGACCUUGAAGUCUCCGCUACGCUGCCCUCAACCUGGCAGCCCUGCACUGUCGCUUUGGUCACCAGUGAGUAGUGAUGGGCAUAGAUAUGGAAAGUAUCAAUAUCAGUUGCAAUUUAUGUAUGCAAUAUUGACUCAGUCAACAGGCUGACUUGGCUCUACAUGAGGCAAUCCGCAUCGCCCAGGAGUCCAAUGAUCACAUGUGCCUGCAGCACUGCCUGAGUUGGCUUAACACGCUGGAACAGAUGAAAGGACCUGACAGCUCUGCGCUAAUUGAAGACUGUGGAAAUGGCUGUCCACUUCUGUCUACUGGUAAGAAUUUCAUAUGCCUGCAGAUGAGACUGGAGCACUCCAGGUUUACUUACCGUUUUAUGCAAUAGCCUCUCAGUUUCCUGAAUCUAUGGCGGUUCAGUAGAUCCAGGUGAUUACUGACCCUCACAUUACCACCAUCCUCCUUACCAGUGCACCAAAUCUGGAACCAACAAGACCCUGAACAGCUUCUACCCCCAUGCCAUAACACUGCUAAAUAGCUAAUAAAAUGUCUACCCGGAUUACCUGC